rnacentral:rRNA from 1 species
UGGAUCCAGACUUGAUUCUGGCUCAGGAUGAACGCUAGCGGCAGGCUUAACACAUGCAAGUCGAGGGGCAGCAUAAUGGAUAGCAAUAUCUAUGGUGGCGACCGGCGCACGGGUGCGUAACGCGUAUGCAACCUACCUUUAACAGGGGGAUAACACUGAGAAAUUGGUACUAAUACCCCAUAAUAUCAUAGAAGGCAUCUUUUAUGGUUGAAAAUUCCGAUGGUUAGAGAUGGGCAUGCGUUGUAUUAGCUAGUUGGUGGGGUAACGGCUCACCAAGGCGACGAUACAUAGGGGGACUGAGAGGUUAACCCCCCACACUGGUACUGAGACACGGACCAGACUCCUACGGGAGGCAGCAGUGAGGAAUAUUGGUCAAUGGACGCAAGUCUGAACCAGCCAUGCCGCGUGCAGGAUGACGGCUCUAUGAGUUGUAAACUGCUUUUGUACGAGGGUAAACGCAGAUACGUGUAUCUGUCUGAAAGUAUCGUACGAAUAAGGAUCGGCUAACUCCGUGCCAGCAGCCGCGGUAAUACGGAGGAUUCAAGCGUUAUCCGGAUUUAUUGGGUUUAAAGGGUGCGUAGGCGGUUUGAUAAGUUAGAGGUGAAAUUUCGGGGCUCAACCCUGAACGUGCCUCUAAUACUGUUGAGCUAGAGAGUAGUUGCGGUAGGCGGAAUGUAUGGUGUAGCGGUGAAAUGCUUAGAGAUCAUACAGAACACCGAUUGCGAAGGCAGCUUACCAAACUAUAUCUGACGUUGAGGCACGAAAGCGUGGGGAGCAAACAGGAUUAGAUACCCUGGUAGUCCACGCAGUAAACGAUGAUAACUCGUUGUCGGCGAUACACAGUCGGUGACUAAGCGAAAGCGAUAAGUUAUCCACCUGGGGAGUACGUUCGCAAGAAUGCAACUCAAAUGAAUUGACGGA